CUCUCCCCUUCCAUUCACAUCAAGAUUCAUUUUCAACUCUCUUUAUAUACAGAAGAUCAGUUUAGUAUAUAUUAAGGAAAUAUUUCAACAGUUUGCACCCACAUAGAAACAUAAAGUGAAAAAUACUAUUUGACUACAAGUUAUAACAUUAAAUCACAAUGUACAGCACAUCAAGGAUAGAGAUCGCACAUGAGGAGUAAGUGCACAGUGACUCUUGUUGUUGACUUUACCAAUUGACACUCUUGUUUAUGGCAUCAGUAAUCUCCCUAGGCUCUAGUCAUGAGUUUCCAAGGCUAUGGAAGCCUUUUGAGUUUGCUGACUCUGAUCAUAUUUAAACAAGGUCAUAGUCAAAGUGGCAGUUCUCUCCUCCCUUCAGAGAAAGGUACUGCCUUCUUUGAUGACCUGUUCUUUCCACUGGGAUCUCACCCGCAGAGAUCUUUCAGUUAGAUCAUUUUUUUUUUUUGCCAGAGCAUCUUGGCUUUCCAUGCCUGAAAUACUCUCAUGGGCUCUUCAGCCAGAUCUGCAUGCCUUAAGGGCUGAUUCUGAGGCCAGGGUGCUGUUUAGGACAUCUACCAUUCUAUGAGUCUGCUGUGUAUCCUGCUUCCCAUGUUGGAUCAUUCUCUCCCUUUUUUAUUCUAUCAGUUAGUAUUUUCAGACACUAGUCUUUUUUAUGUGAUUCCUUUGACUCUUAGUCCUAUCAUUAAGAUCAAUUGUGAACAGAAAUUGAUCAAAUGGACUAGUGAGAUGGCAUUGGUACAUGCCACCUUGUUGGGAUUGAAUUGGAAUCCCCUAGUAUGUUUCUAAGUCUACCAUUUGUGGCAAGUCAGCUUGAGCAUGUCCCGAAUUGCACAUCUCUUCCCUCUCUUAUUCCCACACUUAUAUUUAACAGGGAUCACUUUUCAGUUAAAUUUCAACACUUAAGAAUAACUGUGUAUUAAUUACAGAAUUCAACCAAUAUUAUUAAGUAGAACAAAAAAAAUUCUUAAUGUGAAUAUACGGGAUGACAAUCAUUCAAAAUUAUCUUUGUCACUGAUUUUGUAGAUGAGAUAUCAAACACAUAUAUCCUUUGGUGGCUUAAAGUGUUUCUGAAGUGAAGGUCCCACACAAUGUAACAGGAAAGGAAUUUGAAAAGGUGUGAGUAAAGAGAAACUAAGGGGUAUCCUUAUUCAUUAUCAAGUCAAAAAUAAAAUCUACUUUUUAAAGUUGUUCAAAACAUUUCUAUGUCAUAGAGUUAGAAAUUAGGCCUUGACCAUAUUAUUUGGGUAUUUCAUGUCAAUGGUACCACUUCUCUGGGCCUUAGUUUCAUCAUGUAAAAAUAAAUUAUACCUAAAGUUUCUAUCUUUAUAAUUUAAUUGUUUAUUACUUGCUUGUUGUCCUCUGCUAAGCAAGAUGUUGCCACUCUACCUUGGAUAAAAAAAAGUUAUCUUUAAAACUAAUAUUUGUUGCUAUACACAAUAUUGUGAGAGGUUAUUAAAUAAUAUUUAAGGAUGAAUAGAGCCAAGUAAAGAGUACUCUGAGAAGUAGAAAACUAAAUUGGAAAUAGAAAAGGUGAAAGAAGAUGUUGAAAUCAUCUUCUGGUAGAGAAAUUUUUGAAAAUGUAUUAAUUAUGUGGCAAAUAUUUUUGUUCACAAUAGUGAGUCUGCAUAUUUGAUACAUGUGGAACAACUCAACACAGAAAACCUUCAAAUUCUGCCCUCAAGUAUUCCAUAUAAUUUACCACCUUGGUGUAUCUUAAGGAAACAGUGAAAGAUAAUUCUACCAGGUCCAUUGAAUGUCAUGGAAUAAAUCAAAAGCAGCCAUCUUGUGUGUUCAUGGAGAAUUCAUGGAUAAUUUACCCCAUAUGACUUUGACCAGCUGUUAAUAUAGUGAAAAAUAUCUUCCUUGCUGUUCAAUGAUAACCAACAAUAGAAGAAUAAAGUUACUGGUCUGAAUUUUGUUAUGGUGUCCAACUGAUAAAUCUUGAAUAUAAUACUAUAAAAGUGCUUUGGUAACUUUGUAAAAUCACAUGCUGUUACAUUUUAUAUACCAUUCUUAUUGUUUGAAACAUACAUUUCCUCUUUUGCCAAUUUUAUCUUUCUAUUUUUCCUUACUACAAGGGAGAGGUCCCUGCCUGGCCCCUUCCCAGAUUGGCAGGAAGAAAAAUGGCAUCAUGGCAGUAGGGAGUGUAGUAACUGUGGGUAUGGAAGGAAACACAGGUCUAACAUUAGCUGUGAGGAAACAGCAUGGAACACAUUCCAUGACAAAUGUGCAUGUUUCUGUGUCUACCCCAUGUGGUCCAUGGUGUCUUUCCCUGCUGGCCACCUGUCCCAGCUCUUGUUGUGGGAUGGGAGAGGGAGCUGCAGGGAUUCUGAGACAGAAGGGCAGCAAGGGGCAGGGGCUGAUGGAGGCCUUCAGACAGCUGGGGUGGGCCAUACACUCAAAUGUGAGGAAACUGGGAGAGAGUUCCCUCAGGACUUUGCCCCAAUGUUCCCUGAAUAUUCAACAAGACUGCUCCUCACCAUUGAGCCUCUGAGUCUGAGGAGAGAGAGGGUUGCUGGCUGGGUCUCUCAGAGAGUCUGGCACUUGACAGUGUUUCAUGUCAAAAAUAAAUAAUUUACUAAAAAGCAGCUUGCCACACCCAUGGUGAGCAAAGCCUCGUGGUGGAAAGGGGAUGUCCAGCCAGCUGGGAUGGUUAAUACCUGUUUUUUCUCCUCCCAGCCCACCCAGGUGCAGCUGUCAGGCCCAACAGGCCUGUGACAACAGCUGUCAGAUGAGCAUCAGGUAGCAGAGAGCAGGGUGGAAUGUUGAUGAUGAGGGAAUCUCCUGAUGUGAUUUUAUGUAAAGGAUGACAGUGGCAUGUGCUGAGUUUCAGAACAUGGGCAGCAACAGCAAUAUGGUAUAAAUAGUUCCAAGUCCCCAAAGAAGAGACAUGGCUGGAUGUCUGGGCUCCUCCAGUUAAACGUGGACAGCUGCUAUGCAGCAGGAAGGUCAGAGCCUUCAUCUGGUUUACAGGGCUGUCGGUCUGUUGAGGGCAGAGGCACUUAGCUCCAUAGUGCAUUGUGUCAGGAUGGACAGGAGUGGGCCCUGUAGAUGGCAGGGCUGCUCAUAGUAAAUUGGAUAGUGAUUGCUGAGUGGGUACUGGAUCCACCACCACCACUGUUUGAGGAGACUAGGACAAUCACUGUGCUCCUUAUUCAGCCUGUUUAAGAGGCAGUGUCACUGACAAUCCCUGCAUUGGCAAAAAGAAUCAGAUCCUUGUGGCCUAUGAAUGGAGCUGCCACCAGUGGCACCAGUCAGGUAGUGGGUAGAGCACAUCCCAGUCAUGGCCAUCCCAUUACUGAGGUUGUAGGAGCUGUCCAAGUUCCAUAUAGUUUCACAUGUGAUUCACCAUGGGAACCAGGUAGUGUUAAGGCCUCUAUGCCUGUGUAUCAAAAAAAUGGGUUUUUCAAAUCCAGGAAGUUCAGGGAUUUAGAGCCCAUCUUGUCCUGACCAUAAUAUUGAUGUCUGUAUUUGGGGUCCUGUUGGCAAUAAACAGAUAUGUUGCUGAAAGCAUAUCUCCAGCCUUGGCAAAUUGUGAUCACUGUUGCAGGUACCAGAAAUGGUAGCAGUGUGUUAAGGGACCUGUCACAGCCAUGCAGAGCCACAUGGUCGUAAUGGAGCCAAUAAAAGCAACAUAAAACGAGAAGGUCAGAUCUCUGAAUGAAGCAUGUGGAGUUGUAUGAGUUCUCCCUGUGAGAAUCUCUCUUUGGCUUCUUUUUUUAAGAUUACUUAUUUGAAAGGCAGAGUUGAGGGAGAGAGAGGGGGAGAGAGAGAGAGAGAGAGAGAGAGAGAGAAUCUUCAAUCCAUUGCUUCGCUCCCCAAAUGAACUCAAUGCCUGUAGCUGGGCUUAUCUGAAGCCGGGAGCCAGGAGCUUUUUCCAUGUCUCUCAUGUGGGUGCAGGAGUCCAAGCAUCUAGACCAAUGUCUUCUGCUUUCCUAGGCCAUUUGCAGGGAGCUGAAUCAGAAGUGGAGCAACCAGGACUCCAGCCAGCACCCAUAUGGGAUGCAGGCACUGCAGGCGGUGGCUUUACCCACUAUGCAAAGGCAUUGGCUCAUCUCUUUGGAUUUUGAGAGAUGCCUCUGCCAGCAUCUAACUUCCUGCCACAGCCCCUGAAACACACACCAGCCACUGACUGACAUCCCACUGCACAUGCCACCACCCCAGCUGCCAUCUUAAAUCCCAGCAUAGGCCUCGUGGCCACAUGAGUAAUGCAGCAGCUUGAGUGUUCUGUAUUUAUUGAAUGGUGCCCUAAUAAAAUUAGGACAUUGCAGGUAAUCACUUUGAUAUGGAUCUCAGAAACUGCAGUACACUUGGGUUAGACAGAUACAAACUACAUUUCUUGGGGAGACAGUUGUGUCAGAGAGGGCCUUCAUGGUGGGCCUCAAUAAUUUAUAUUCUCCUCCACAAUAUCUAAGAGUUUCUGAUUCCUGUAUCAUUUCUAAUCUGUCAUGCUGUAGUAUUUGGUAUCCCAGUUUACCUUUUUCUCCUUUUUCAUCCUUCUAUUGUUUCUAUCAUCUAAAUAUUCUAUAGUAAGAAGGUACUUCUUUUAUUUUCAUGAAACAUAUAUCAAUAUGUUUAUAAUGUGAAUAUAAAUUUUGUUUGUUUUAAGUUUUAUUAAUAUAAUGGGAGCAGAUCUUACGCAUUCCAUAGGUACAGUUCCACGAAGACAACCACACUUCCCCUUACUCCUCUGCUCCCCCAACCCUCUCUCAUCCUCCCCAAAACCCCUCCCACCCUGCUCCCUUCAUCAAUUCUUGCAAAGACAUAAUUUUAAUCCAGUGUAUAUUCAAAGACAUAAUUUGCCACUAAUUAAUUAUAACAUUCAACAAGUAAAUUAUUAUUAUUAAUUAUAAUAUCCAACAAGAAAUAUAAACACUAGCUAAAAUGACAAUCUCAGUUUUCUUUUAUGUGUGUUUAUUUUCUUGUGGGUAAAAUUAGACCUGCUCCCAUUAAGAUAUAUUUAUAUUUAUUUACUUUGAUUUGUUAAGUUGUCUAUAUUCUUCCUUGACUUUUCUAUCUGAUCAUUCAGUAGUAACUUUCUGUUUAAAUGUCUGUGUCUUCAAAUUAUUGUCUAAAUCUAGAAAGGACUGUCACCUCUCAUUGUGUUUUAUUUUUAGAAAUUCUUCAUGCUUAUUUUCCCCAUGAACUUUAAAAUCACCUUAUAGAAAAUACACACCACAGAUGACAAUCACCCUCUUCUCAUUAGUGAUUGAGCAUGCAAAAAGCAGAAAAGAUUAAUUCACUAAAUGUCCCUCAGUGUCCUAAUCAUCUCCAUUUUUCUUUAAAAUCAUCAGAAGCAAUUCCAGCAUUACCAGCCAACUCCUUCAGACCAGCUCUGUACCCUUUGCUUUCAAUGAUUUCCCACCUGGCAGAAGCUGUGGCAGAUUUUCACCUUGCAGCCUUACACAGUCACACAAACCAGUUCCUUACUGUCAGCAUCCUUCUAUGCACCACACACACACACACACACACACACACACAGUGGCUCUGUUCCUCUGUUCCUCUCUCCCUUCAAACAUUUCCAUUUACCUUUUUUUAUUUUGCCUGGCAUUAAUAUUUUACCUUUGCUCACAUAGAUUUUCUGCUGCUGCUGUGUUUUAUUCUAAGCAUUUAUAUCUUUCUUUCCAUCAUAGUUUCUCAUUAUUGUUUCUACUUAUGAAGAGUAGUGUUUGAAAAAUAUUUAUAUUCAACCAGCAAAAUUAUCUUUUUGUGCUAUUUGUUUAUAUAUAGUUCUUUUAGAAUUUCAAGUAUAUCAGCAUACUAUCUAAAAGUAAUGUAGUUUUUUCUCAUUUUCACUGUUACAUAACUUUCUAUUUGUCAUAUUACCUACUACCUUCAUCACAAUAUAACCAUGUGUUCUCUUGAUAUUAAAUGGAUACUUUCCAUGGGCCACUUCCUACAGUGCCAGCAUCCCACAUGAGUGCCAGUUAGUGAGCCAGCUGUUCCAUCUCUGAUCCACCUCCCUGCUAGUGGCCUGGGAAAAUCAGCAGGAUAUGGCCUAAGUGAUUUGGUCCCUGCUACCCACAUAAGAAUGGAAAGAAGCUCCUGACUCCUGGUUUUGGCCUUGCACAGCACUGGCUGCUGUGGCCACCUGAGUAGUGACCAACACAUGGAAGAUCCUUCUCUCUGUGUCUUCCUCUCUCUCCUUCUCUGUAACUGACUUCUAAAUAAAUAAAUCUUUUUAAAAGGGCAUUUUCCGUAGACAUUUUAUUCACAUAUUCAUUUUUCAUUUGAGAAGCGGAAUCUUGCAUUCACUGGCUCACUGCCAAUGAUGGGCCAGGACAGAGCCAAGAGUCAGGGAAUUGAUCUGGGUCUCUGAGUUGGCAGGGACAUGAGUGCCAGAAUCAUCUGCUGCUUCCCAUGUUGUGCACUAGCAGAAAGCUGGAGUGAGAUGCAGAACUGUGACUCAAAGCCACGCACUCUGAUAUGGGAUGCAGAGUUCCCAAAGCAGUUCCCCACUGCACUCUGAAAGGAAUAUUUUCCAAUUUUUUGUAUGAUACAAAGUAACAAUUUUCAUCAUGUUUUGUUUCAUUUUUCUAUAUUUUCCAAAUCAUCAUUGUCCUGGAAAAUUUCAUUGAUCUAUAAGGGGUUUCGAAAUAUGUCUCGAGUGGUUGUUUUGAAGUAGCUGUUUAAGCCUCCACAUCAGAGACCGAAAUCCCAUAUCAGAGGGCCUGGUGUAAGUCCCAGUGAUUGUGGCCUUCUGAUCCAGCUUCCCUCUAAUGUCCCUAGGAAGCAGAAGGUGAUAGCAUGUAUGUUUAUGUUCCUACCACCUCCCUGGGAAACUGGAAUGGAGUUCUUGGCUCCUGGCUUUGUUCUGACUUAAUCCUAACUGUUGUGGGAGUUUGGAUUGAGAAAUUCAUAUUCUCUCUCUCUCUCAAAUAAUUAAAACAUUUGGAAAUACAAUGGAUGUAAAAUACUUACAGAAAUUUGACAUAGAAACAAAAGCCAUAAGAUUUUGACAUAGAAAAAAUACAAAAUAAUACAUUUAUCUGAUUUUGUCCCUAUACCAUAUUCUCUCCUUCAGGUGAGUAACUAUGUUAAUUCAAAAAAGGGCCUUAAAAGUUGUUGUAAAAUGUAAGUGCAUUGGAGGAAGAGGAUGGGUAGAAAGUAGAGACCUGCAGGAACAUGGGGCCUUGUAUAGCAGGGCCUUGUAUAGACAGAGAGCAGUGCAUACCUGGUCACAUGGAAUACCUGUCCCAGAUCUUUUCACUUGUGCCUUAGGGAGGCCUCAAGACCCCCGCCUCUUGAGAUUUUUACUAUUCAGUGGGUUGAGGAGGCUGGCCCUGGCCCUCCUGUACAUAAAGUGCACCAUUGUGACAGAGCUGGCUCUAUGAUGUCACUGUUGUCCAACACCCCUCCACAUUCCACUGCAAUUAGAGGCCACUGAUUUUUAGAUAACUCACUAUUGACUUGGAGUUGAGACCUUCUCUCUUCAUUUCCUUCUGAGUUGGGGACAUUCACUUUGAGGUGGGUGGCCCUGAUUUCUCCUGGCUGCUGCAGAAAGUGAUGUUGGCUGUGCCCUUAGUGGUGCCCAAUAGAUGCUGAGUAUGUAUAUAGUUGUUUCUCUCCCUGUAGGGUGAGAUCAAAUUUCCCCUUGGUAUGGGUCUGUGGAGGGAUAUAAUGACUAUGGUGAAAUUAUUCAGGUUUCCAAAGCCUGCUCUGUUUCCUUGGUGUAGUGUGAAGGAAUCAUUACAAUAUAAGAUGGAGGUGUCUUCUAACUUAAUGCAAGCUUCCAAAACAUCUUUAUGUUGGUUUAAAAGGUGGAUGUGCAGGUGUCUGACUGUGUUAUGUUCCUGUUUGUCUUGAAAUCUAAAGGAAGUUCUUGGUAAUUGUAAAACCUGCUGCAAGGUGUUUUGUGGGAAGUCAGAAGAUGAACUACAAUUAUUUAGGUGACUGGGAGAGCAUUGGAACUUCCUAUCUGAGACAAGCUGUGGUUACCCUGAAAAUGAUCUAGGAAAGUUUGAGGGACAACCAUAUACCCAUGGGAGAAACUGAGCACUAAUGUAGCAGUGUCAGGAUUUUGUGUCCCAAGUCAAUGUUGUAAAGGGGAAAAGACAGGAAUCAGAAGGUCUCCUGGGAAACUCCUAUACAUCAACAGUGGUUAAAUACAAGUAAUUAUGUUGGAUGAUAUUGACAAGUAGUGGUUCAAAGAUAGUUUAAAAAAGAAGAAAAGCAAUAGCUUAGCAGCUAUUAAGCCAUAUACACAUAAUUCACGUGUACAUAGCCAAAAAUGUUAAGUUUCCCACUAGCCCAACUCAACCUCAGGCUUGUCACAUGAGGCAAUGAGCUGGUAGACCAAAGGGACAUCAGGAUUAACAGGUAAUUCCUUCCCUAACCAUCACUAUUCAAAACAAGAAGGUGUUUGUUCUGCCUAGCUACUUCUUUAGAGGAACAUUUCAUUUUAUGAGCUUGUGCUCUGCAUGCUGUCCUUGUAAGGGAGAUAGUAAAUAUGUUGCAUUCAGAAAAGAUCCAAUAAAGAGGGAGGAUUGUUCUAAGUGUCUUGCAGACUGAACCAUUUGUUAAAGUGAGACCCCUAUUAACAGAAAAAAAAGCCUCAUAUACCACAAUAAUAUACUAUGGCAGAAUCAAGAAAUGCAAUGUGAAGGUUGUCCUCAUCCGAUUUGACUUCCAUUAAUGAAAUUAUUAAGUAAACUUUUGUUAAAAAUGAUAAAUUCAGAAAAUUUUAAGUAGUGCAGGACACCAGAUUGGUGUAAAAUGGGACUGAACCAAGGCAGCUGAGACAUGUGGUCUCACUGACACAGUUGACAGUGAAACCUACAGGGAACCCACAUAUUUGAACUGAUGAGAAGGAAAGAAGGACAACAAGCUAAAUGAUCUUUUAUUUAAUUGAGAAAUUGAACUGAAAACCACAUAUUCAUAAUUAUUAACUCCAUUUAUCCAAUAAACUGGAAAAUCUAGAAGAAAUGGAUGUAUUUCAAGACACAUACAGUCUACCAUAUUGUAGUCAUGAAGACAAAAACCUAAACAGACCAAUAAUCAAGAUAGCAAUGGAAUCAGUAAUAAAGAUCCUCACAGCAAAGAAAAAGCCCAGGACUGGAUGGCUUCACUGCUGAACUCCACCAGUCAUUUUUUUUUUAAAAAAUUAUUUAUUUAUUUUUUUGCCAGGCAGAGCUAGACAGUGAGAGAGAGAGACAGAGAGAAAGGUCUUCCUUUUUCCAUUGGUUCACCCCCCAAGUGGCCCCUAUGGCUGGCACAUUGUGGCUGGUGCACUGCGUUGAUCCAAAGCCAGGAGCUAGGUGCUUCCUCCUGGUCUCUCACAUGGGUUCAGGGCCCAAGGACCUGGGCCAUCCUCCACUGCACUCCCGGGCCAAAGCAGAGAGCUGGACUGGAAGAGGAACAACUGGGACAGGACCAGUGCUUCAAGCAAGACUAGAACCCAGGGUGCUGGUGCCGCAGGUAGAGGAUUAGCCUAGUGAGCUGUGGCACUGGCCCACCAGUCCUUUAAAAAAGGACAAAUUCUAAUUAUUCUCCAAUUAUUUAAAAUAAUUGAAAGGGGUGAAUUCCUCCCAAACUCCUUCUAUGAGGCCAGUAUCACCUUAAUUCAAUAACCUGAAAAAAUAUAGAAAGAACUACAGACCAAUGUCCCUUAUGAACAUAGACAAAAAAACUCUCAACAAAAUACUAGCUAAUCGAAUCCUACAACACAUCAGAAAGAUGAUUCAGCAGGACCAUGUGGAGUUAUCCCUGGUAUGUAGGGAUGGUGCAACAUAGGCAAAUCAGUAAAUGUGACACAUCAUAUCAACAAAUUGAAGCAUAAAAGCCAUAUUAUUAUCUCAAAAGAUGCAGAGAAAGCAUUUGAUGAAUACAACAUCCUUUCAUGAUAUAAAUAUUAAGCAAAUUGGGUAU